AUUCACAGACAAAAGAGGUUAAUCUUUCGCCUUUUACUAAAGAUUUCCCUGGAGAGGAACAAUUGUGAGUUCACCACCAAAUUUUUUGACGUCCUGCUUAGAGGGGGCU
rnacentral:snRNA from 1 species